CAGUAGCCACGGUAAUACGUAGGGUGCAAGCGUUAAUCGGAAUUACUGGGCGUAAAGCGUGCGCAGGCGGUUUGUUAAGACAGAUGUGAAAUCCCCGGGCUCAACCUGGGAACUGCAUUUGUGACUGGCAAGCUAGAGUCUGGCAGAGGGGGGUGGAAUUCCGCGUGUAGCAGUGAAAUGCGUAGAUAUGCGGAGGAACACCGAUGGCGAAGGCAGCCCCCUGGGCCAACACUGACGCUCAUGCACGAAAGCGUGGGGAGCGAACAGGAUUAGAGACCCGCGUAGUCCCUGUCUCUUAUAC
rnacentral:rRNA from 1 species